GGGCGGGGCAGGGGCGGGGCUUUCCCUGCCCGAGCAGGGGUCCUGGGCCCGUGGCUGCCCGCCUAGCUCAGGCAUUAGCUUCCCUCCUCCCACUCCCCCCACCCUCCCAGCUCUUGGCCGCCCCCUUCCCUGCCUGCCACACAGCUGUUUUGCCAACAUUGCUGCCUGAUUAUCUUUCAAGUGGCUUCUUGGAGCAGAUGUUCUGGCUCCUUCCUGCAUCGAAAACAAACAGGCGCUCUGUUGUCAUUUGCUCUCCUGGGGAAAAUCCCUCUGCUGCUGCAGAUUCUUCUUGAGAGGUUCAGGGACUUCUGUGAAGUCUCUCCCAGCUGCUCCUUGCCAGGAAUUUGCCUCCAGAUGGAUGACAGGGGCUCCUCAGGUCUUCCGAGGUCCAAAACCUCUGCAAGUCUGGGGUCUGGGCUUACCUUCAGAAUGUUUCUCCAGUCGGCUGAGUCUCUCCCACUCUGGUGCGGCUGUCCCUCUGCACCAAGCCGCCAGCCUCAUGACCCGGAUGACCUCAGAAGAUGCCUGCUGGUCCCCCUGCCCUAAGUCAUUCCUUGACACCACCCAAGGAGGAGGUUUUGGAAUACCUGCUUUGUGCUCAGUCUUUUGAUAAGAAUACCAUGAGAUUAUGGGAGAAGGAGAUGUCAUCCUGGGCAUGAGAGAGGCCCUCUAAAGGUUUUUAAACAGGGAUUCUCCCAUGGUUUGAAGAUGGCUGUUGGGACACCAUCUGGCCUUGUGAUAUCAGGCGAGGCAGUGUGGUCCAGUAGGAUGAGAAUCUCUGGCAGGCUCUCUCUCCAAGCUGCAGGAACAGCAGGCCUGGACAGCCAGGCAGGGAGUGGAACCAGCAGGGGGCCACCCACUCGGAGGAGUCGUCGAAGUCUGAGAUGAUGGUACAGACCCGGGCUCCAGGCCAAGCGCUGCCCCUUCUUGCUGUGCAACUUUGGGCGAGGGGUGACACCUCUCUGGGCCUCAGCCCUAGGACACUCCCCAUCACUCCUACCAUGUGAGGAAUGACCCUGCAAGUCUUGCUCUGUCCCCAACCCCCUCUCUGCCCUGCUGUCCUGGAAUUCCACAGCUAGGGUUCUGUUCAUUUGGUCCCUGAAUGACUGGAGUGCAGGAUGGGGCAGACGUGAGGGUGCCGGGGGGAGGAAGGAUGCUGGACGUGGGACAGCCAGGCAGGGCUAGAGAAUGAAAGGCCAGUGGCUCAGACAGGUGUCUUGGGUCCCAUCUUCCCCAUUUUUCACUCUUGUCAACUCAGGAGCAAGGUUUUAGGGGCAGGGGGCACUCCUCCCACCCCCCUCCGGUCCUAUUAGGUCCUGGCUCCAUGCCAACAUGUGGGUUGGGGACAGUGAGCAGCUAGUACCCUCAUGAUCUCUAAAACGUGAAGUGGCUGGGCAUUCCUCAAGUCUGGCUGGAACAGCCCUGCUGGCAUUGGAGCCUGGGCUUCUAUGUCAGCCUCCCCAGCCCCUGCAGCGGCCUGAGGAGGAAGGCAGCUCUGUGUGUUUGCACCCUCCUACCCCUGAGUCAGUCCUGACUCCCCCACGUGUCCCCGCAGGCUGAUGCAG